rnacentral:rRNA from 1 species
AUUGAACGCUGGCGGCAGGCCUAACACAUGCAAGUCGAACGAGUGGCGGACGGGUGAGUAAUGUCUGGGAAACUGCCUGAUGGAGGGGGCUAACUACUGGAACCGGUAGCUAAUACCGCAUACCAUCGGAUGUGCCCCGAUGGGAUUAGCUUGUUGGUGGGGUAACGGCUCACCAAGGCGACGAUCCCUAGCUGGUCUGAGAGGAUGACCAGCCACACUGGAACUGAGACACGGUCCAGAGUCCUACGGGAGGCAGCAGUGGGGAAUAUUGCACAAUGGGCGCAAGCCUGAUGCAGCCAUGCCGCGUGUAGGAAGAAGGCCUUCGGGUUGUAAAGUACUUUCAGCGGGGAGGCGUUACCAGCAGAAGAAGCACCGGCUAACUCCGUGCCAGCAGCCGCGGUAAUAC